UACGUAGGGGGCAAGCGUUGUCCGGAUUUAUUGGGCGUAAAGAGCUCGUAGGCGGCUUGGCAAGUCGGGUGUGAAAACUCCAGGCUCAACCUGGAGAUGCCACUCGAGACUGCUAUGGCUAGAGUCCGGUAGGGGACCACGGAAUUCCUGGUGUAGCGGUGAAAUGCGCAGAUAUCAGGAGGAACACCGGUGGCGAAGGCGGUGGUCGUGGGCCGGCGACUGACGCUGAGGAGCGAAAGCGUG
rnacentral:rRNA from 1 species